rnacentral:lncRNA from 1 species
ACAGCUUUACUACAUAAAAAAACACAACUUUAACCAGAAUCCGAACAAGGGUUUUCACCAAUCAAGGGCAAAAUUAAAGGGUCGAUGCUACUGGGUUUCUGACGGGAAAAUUACCCCUCUUACCUUCCAUAAACAAUCAAAUUACUAGAACCACAGGUUAAAUAUGAGUGUGUAUGUACAUAUAAGAGAGACUGCAAUCGAAUUGGGGAUAGUUAGGCCAAAGCCUUGCCGGAAUUGGAGGAGAUAAUACCGGAGGUCGCCGUAGAAUAGGGAGGAGAUGUUGUGUCGCCAGAGCUCCGGGAGGCGAAAUCGGAGAUGAAUUAGCCCAGCAACGUCUCUGUUUGAACUGAAGAAGAGAA